rnacentral:misc_RNA from 1 species
UAGAAGUGCGAAAGCUCCACUAAACCAUCGCGAACUCGUUACCCAACGUUGCUUCGGCGGCGCGGCCUCCCUCACGGGGGGACGCUAGCCAGACUCUCGGCAGGUGUAGGGCGCCUCGCGGAGGUAUGAAUCUGUAUUAUAGGAAUAUGAGUGCAAAA